UUGACCUCAAAUCAGGUAGGACUACCCGCUGAACUUAAGCAUAUCAAUAAGCGGAGGAAAAGAAACUAACAAGGAUUCCCCUAGUAACUGCGAGUGAAGCGGGAAAAGCUCAAAUUUAAAAUCUGUCGGUCUC
rnacentral:rRNA from 1 species